GUGAUUGUCUUUAUUGGCUUAAACUAUAUCCAUCUACACCUGUGAACUGUUUGAUUGAACCUUUUGGUUCAAUUUUUUACAAACAUUGUGUAAUGAACGUCAUUAGAUCAUAACAUGAAA
rnacentral:misc_RNA from 1 species